AAUAAAAUGGCUGAGAAUAAAAGCGAUAAAUUGUAAAUUUAUUAACGGGAUUAUUUCCCUUUUAUUA
rnacentral:tRNA from 1 species